rnacentral:rRNA from 1 species
UGGGGAAUCUUGCACAAUGGGGGAAACCCUGAUGCAGCGACGCCGCGUGAGCGAUGAAGCCCUUCGGGGUGUAAAGCUCUUUCGGCAGGGAAGAUAAUGACGGUACCUGCAGAAGCAGCUGCGGCUAACUACGUGCCAGCAGCCGCGGUAAUACGUAGGCAGCAAGCGUUGUUCGGAGUUACUGGGCGUAAAGGGUGCGUAGGCGGCUUUUUAAGUUUGGUGUGAAAUCUCCCGGCUUAACCGGGAGGGUGCGCCGAUUACUGAGAGGCUAGAGUGCGGGAGAGGAAAGUGGAAUUCCUGGUGUAGCGGUGAAAUGCGUAGAUAUCAGGAGGAACACCGGUGGUGUAAACGGCUUUCUGGACCGUAACUGACGCUGAGGCACGAAAGCGUGGGUAGCAAACAG